rnacentral:rRNA from 1 species
GACAGAGGUGCCAAGCGUUAGGCGGAAUCACUGGGCUUAAAGCGCGUGUAGGCGGGUCGUUAAGUGUCCGAGUGAAAUCCCACGGCUCAACCGUGGAACUGCCGGGCAUACUGGCGAUCUUGAGGCAUUCAGGGGCGAGCGGAACAAAUGGUGGAGCGGUGAAAUGCGUAGAUAUCAUUUGGAACGCCAAUGGUGAAAACAGCUCGCUGGGAAUGAUCUGACGCUGAGACGCGAAAGCCAGGGGAGCGAACGGG